AGUCAAGUAAUUAAGUGCAUGUGGUGGAUGCCUUGGCAGUCAGAGGCGAUGAAAGACGUGAUAGCCUGCGAAAAGCUCCGGGGAGGCGGCAAAUAUCCUUUGAUCCGGAGAUGUCUGAAUGGGGGAACCCACCUACUUUAAGGUAGGUAUUGCAACAUGAAUACAUAGUGUUGCAAGGCGAACGAGGGGAAGUGAAACAUCUCAGUACCCUUAGGAAAAGAAAUCAAUUGAGAUUCCCUCAGUAGCGGCGAGCGAACGGGGAUCAGCCCAUUAAGUUAUGUGUGUUUUAGUGGAACGCUCUGGGAAGUGCGAACGUAGAGGGUGAUAUUCCCGUACACGAAAGGGCACACAUAAUGAUGACGAGUAGGGCGAGGCACGUGAAACCUUGUCUGAAUAUGGGGGACCAUCCUCCAAGGCUAAAUACUCCUGACUGACCGAUAGUGAACCAGUACCGUGAGGGAAAGGCGAAAAGAACCCCUGUGAGGGGAGUGAAAUAGAUCCUGAAACCGCAUGCAUACAAGCAGUGGGAGCACCUUCGUGGUGUGACUGCGUACCUUUGUAUAAUGGGUCAGCGACUUAUAUUCAGUAGCGAGGUUAACCGUAUAGGGAGCCGUAGAGAAAUCGAGUCUUAAUAGGGCGUUUAGUUGCUGGGUAUAGACCCGAAACCAGGCGAUCUAUCCAUGAGCAGGUUGAAGGUUGGGUAACACUAACUGGAGGACCGAACCCACUGUCGUUGAAAAGCCAGGGGAUGACUUGUGGAUAGGGGUGAAAGGCUAAUCAAGCCUGGUGAUAGCUGGUUCUCCCCGAAAGCUAUUUAGGUAGCGCCUCGGACGAAUACCAUAGGGGGUAGAGCACUGUUUCGGCUAGGGGGUCAUCCCGACUUACCAAACCGAUGCAAACUCCGAAUACCUAUGAGUACUAUCCGGGAGACAGACUGCGGGUGCUAACGUCCGUAGUCAAGAGGAAAACAAUCCAGACCGCCAGCUAAGGCCCCAAAAUCAUAGUUAAGUGGGAAACGAUGUGGGAAGGCAUAGACAGCUAGGAGGUUGGCUUAGAAGCAGCCACCCUUUAAAGAAAGCGUAAUAGCUCACUAGUCGAGUCGGCCUGCGCGGAAGAUGUAACGGGGCUAAAACUAUGUGCCGAAGCUGCGGAUGUAUACUUUGUAUACGUGGUAGGGGAGCGUUCUGUAAGCCGAUGAAGGUGUGUUGAGAAGCAUGCUGGAGGUAUCAGAAGUGCGAAUGCUGACGUGAGUAACGACAAAACGGGUGAAAAACCCGUUCGCCGAAAGACCAAGGGUUCCAGUCCAACGUUAAUCGGGGCUGGGUGAGUCGACCCCUAAGGCGAGGCCGAAAGGCGUAGUCGAUGGGAAAAUGGUUAAUAUUCCAUUACUUCUGUGUAAUGCGAUGAGAGGACGGAGAAGGCUAAAUCAGCCUGGCGUUGGUUGUCCAGGUGAAAGGAUGUAGGCAUGUAUCUUAGGCAAAUCCGGGGUACUCUAUGCUGAGAUCUGAUAGCAAGCUGUACUUGUACAGCGAAGUGGUUGAUGCCAUGCUUCCAGGAAAAGUCUCUAAGCUUCAGUUACACAGGAAUCGUACCCGAAACCGACACAGGUGGUCAGGUCGAGUAGACCAAGGCGCUUGAGAGAACUCUGCUGAAGGAACUAGGCAAAAUGGUACCGUAACUUCGGGAGAAGGUACGCUGUUGUUGGUGAUGGAACUCGCUUCCUGAGCUGACGACAGCCGCAGAAACCAGGCCGCUGCAACUGUUUAUUAAAAACAUAGCACUCUGCAAACACGAAAGUGGACGUAUAGGGUGUGAUGCCUGCCCGGUGCUGGAAGGUUAAUUGAUGGGGUUAGCGUAAGCGAAGCUCUUGAUCGAAGCCCCAGUAAACGGCGGCCGUAACUAUAACGGUCCUAAGGUAGCGAAAUUCCUUGUCGGGUAAGUUCCGACCUGCACGAAUGGCAUAAUGAUGGCGGCGCUGUCUCCAGCAGAGGCUCAGUGAAAUCGAAAUCGCUGUGAAGAUGCAGUGUACCCGCGGCUAGACGGAAAGACCCCGUGAACCUUUACUGCAGCUUGACACUGAACUUUGACCUUACUUGUGUAGGAUAGGUGGGAGGCUUUGAAGCUGGAACGCUAGUUCCAGUGGAGCCGUCCUUGAAAUACCACCCUGGUAAUGUUGAGGUUCUAACUCUGUCCCGUGAUCCGGGACGAGGACCGUGUCUGGUGGGUAGUUUGACUGGGGCGGUCUCCUCCUAAAGAGUAACGGAGGAGUACGAAGGUGCGCUCAGCGUGGUCGGAAAUCACGCGUAGAGUAUAAAGGCAAAAGCGCGCUUAACUGCGAGACCCACAAGUCGAGCAGGUACGAAAGUAGGUCUUAGUGAUCCGGUGGUUCUGUAUGGAAGGGCCAUCGCUCAACGGAUAAAAGGUACUCUGGGGAUAACAGGCUGAUACCGCCCAAGAGUUCAUAUCGACGGCGGUGUUUGGCACCUCGAUGUCGGCUCAUCUCAUCCUGGGGCUGAAGCAGGUCCCAAGGGUAUGGCUGUUCGCCAUUUAAAGAGGUACGCGAGCUGGGUUUAGAACGUCGUGAGACAGUUCGGUCCCUAUCUACCGUGGGCGCUGGAAAUUUGAGAGGAUCUGCUCCUAGUACGAGAGGACCAGAGUGGACGAACCUCUGGUGUACCGGUUGUGACGCCAGUCGCAUCGCCGGGUAGCUAUGUUCGGAAGGGAUAACCGCUGAAAGCAUCUAAGCGGGAAGCCUACCUCAAGAUAAGAUUUCCCUAGGACUUUAUGUCCUCUAAAGAGCCGUUCGAGACUAGGACGUUGAUAGGUUGGAUGUGGAAGCAUAGUGAUAUGUGAAGCUGACCAAUACUAAUUGCUCGUGAGGCUUGACUAU
rnacentral:rRNA from 1 species